AACGGCCGGCAAGCCAUGGCAGCCCUGGCGCAGCUCGCCGGAGCGGCGGUGCGGGUGGCGCUCGCCGCCUUGCUUGGCGCUGCUCCUCCCGGCCUACCGCGUCUACAGGCUCACCGCCUCCUUCCUCGGCGCCCUCCUCGCCGCCGCCGCCGACGACGACGUCGCCGGCAAGGGUCGUCCUCAUCACCGGCGCCUCCUCCGGCAUCGGCGAGCAUCUGGCUUACGAGUACGCGAGGAGGGGGGCGUACCUGGCGCUGGUGGCGAGGAGGGAGGAGAGCCUCCGGGAGGUCGGCGACGCGGCGCUGGCGGCCGGCUCGCCGGGCGUCCUCGUCGUCGCCGGCGACGUCUCCAGCCCCGACGACUGCCGCAAGUUCGUCGAUGACACCAUCCGCUACUUCGGUAGAUUGGAUCACCUGGUGAACAACGCGUCGAUCUGGCAGGUUGGCAAGUUCGAAGAGCUCACCGAUGUCAACCACUUCAGGAAACUGAUGGACAUCAACUUUUGGGGCCACGUGUAUCCGACCCGCCACGCCAUCCCUCACCUGAAGAAGACGCGUGGCCGGAUCGUCGGCGUCACCUCCAACUCGUCCUACAUCUUCAUGCCAAGAAACACCUUCUACAAUGCCAGCAAGGCGGCGGCGGCCAACUUGUACGAGACGCUGAGGAUGGAGCUCGCCGGCGACGGCAUCGCCAUUACCGAGGUCAUCCCGGGUGUGGUCGAGUCGGAGAUCACCAAGGGGAAGAUGCUCACCAAGGAGGGCGACAUGAGAGUAGACCAAGAUGAACGAGACGCGAUCCUAGGGGCGGCGCCGGUGGAGCGCGCCGGCGAGUUCGCGAGGGCGGCGGUGCGGGGCGUGUGCGGCGGGGAGAGGUACGUGUUCGAGCCGCGGUGGUACAGGGCGGCGUACACGCUCAGGGUGUGCUUCCCGGAGGCCCUGGAGUGGUGCGCCCGGCUGCUGACGGUGUGGCGGCUCGGUCCGGCGACGACGGACACGGUGGGCCGGUGGCUGCUCCUCGGCGUCCCCGGCCAGCGAUGGCUCUCCCAGCCGGCGUCGCUCCGGUCGCCGGAGAUCAAGGCUCGGUGAAGGCUGGAGUUGUGUGCUGCCCGGCUUUGGCUAGCUAGCUAGCUUCGUCGUAUUGAGUUUUGGUCUUCUCUUUCUCAACAGCAGCCUGCAGUCUGUAUGUAAUAAACGUGUUCCAGGGUGAUUUUCAUUUGUUAGGAAUACUCCUACCUCGGUCUCAAAAUAUAAGAUAGCACUACUUAAAAAAAAACCUUAAUAGGUGUUAGUUGGAAAACCCUAUAGGUGCCGGUUUUUAUCAGCACCAUGGAGGUGGUACUGAUUA